AGCUUGGGUUGACGAUAGCCAUUCGCUAUAGCCACCGGGAUAUUCUAGGUCAUGACACAGAAGCACUAUCUGGGUAAUGUUCUCACUAGAAAUGAUGAGUUCGUGUCGUUUGUAGAGACAUGGAUGAAUCUGGAGAACAUCAUCCUCAGCAAACUGACACAAGAACAGAAAAUGAAACACCGGAUAUUCUCACUCAUAGCAUUUUAGGAAUCUCUGUUGACCUGGGCAGAGCUCUGAAUGAGAGACACCAUUUGAGAAAAGGCACCAAACAAAUCAAAAAGCAACUUUACAAGAGAAGAUACAAAAGUGUACCUGAUUGCUUGCCAAAGAAAUAAAAUAGAUGAUACGUACUGUGAAAUACAGCAAUUUCUCUUUAUCCUUUAUCCCAUGCUUUGCUUUCUGUGGUUUCAGUUACCUGCAUUCAAUCUUGUUUUGAAAAUAUUAAGUGGAAAAUUUCAGAAACAACUUAUGAGUUUUAAAUU